UACGUAGGGAGCAAGCGUUGUCCGGAAUCAUUGGGCGUAAAGAGCGUGUAGGCGGUCCGGUAAGUCCGUUGUGAAAGUCGAGGGCUCAACCCUCGAAUGCCGGCGGAUACUGUCGGACUAGAGUCCGGAAGAGGCGAGUGGAAUUCCUGGUGUAGCGGUGAAAUGCGCAGAUAUCAGGAGGAACACCGAUGGCGAAGGCAGCUCGCUGGGACGGUACUGACGCUGAGACGCGAAAGCGUGGGGAGCAAACAGG
rnacentral:rRNA from 1 species